AUGCAGCUGACUUCUUCAUUCUCUCUCCAAGCAGCGGGAUCACCUUCAUCUGAAGACCUGCAAAGAGAGCCUUUGGGGAGUUUUGCCUUGGACAGCAGGCACCACGGACAAGCGGUAGGCACAAGCCCAAUGACACGUCUUCAGCUGAGCAUCUUCUCCAAUUCUCUUGAGGAGUGUUCAGAAUCAGCCAGGUCGAGGUCCCCAUCUGGUUUGGGAUGCUUGACCCCAAGCAAUCUCACUGCUCCUUCAAACUCAAGUAGCCCAAUUCUAAGAGCGAGUACUUCUGCCAUUGUUUCUUUCCAGGAGAACCAAUCUACAGGUGCCACCCUUACCACUCCACUGCCGGGUCUCUGGCUUCACUCUCUUGCCUCGAAUCAUGAUAAAAGGACACCAUCAGGGAUUCCAAUGACUGUCCCACCAAAUGGAGGAUCCUCUGAAAGUGAAAAGCCCCCAGAAGCCACUGAAAAGAUCCCAAAGGAUACUUCACAAGCUGUUGUGCCUGAACUAUCAGCUGCAGACCAGCGGGGCCAGGCCUUACUGCAGAUGUCCUCUACUUUGGCUGCAGGUUGGGAUGAUAGCCCGAGGAGACAUCCAGGACCCCGAGAAACAACUGCUCUCCUCUCCAAAAACUUUUCAGGCAGCAUCAUCCAUCUUCUCUUAUCUUUCACUACCUCCUCUUCAAAGAAGAAGCAAGAGCUGAUCAUGAAGCCACAGGCUGUGUCUGUAGGGAUUGGAGGGGACUCCAUCAUUUCUAGUGUUCCUGGAGCAGUGAUGAAUCAGCAAGGCAUAAAGGACCCCACAAGUGAAGGGACGGCCUGGUUGCCAACUUCAGUCAUGUUUUGGGAUGAUUCUACACCUCCUUCAGUGACCCCAGGUGCUAACUCCCAGGCCUUCCAGCAAACCCUCCCAGCCCCAACUGGUCAGAUCUUCUCACUGCCUGCCCUGCCUCAGUUGGUCUCCUUUGGGUCUACAAAAUACUUACGGUCCCCGGUGCAUUUGCUAAAGGCAUUUAUUACCCAAACUGAUGGUCUCAGAGAAAUGAGACCUGGGCAGGACUUGGCCGAGCUGCCAGAGCAUUCCAACCAGCUCAGAAGAUUGAUGAGGGGAAGCAGAACAAAGACAGAUGUGAACCCCCCAGAGGGAGAGUGGCUGGAUUAG
rnacentral:lncRNA from 1 species